UACGGAGGGUGCGAGCGUUGUUCGGAAUCAUUGGGCGUAAAGGGCGCGUAGGCGGGUUUGUAAGUCAAUUGUGAAAGCCCCGGGCUCAACCCGGGAAUUGCAGUUGAUACUGCUUAUCUUGAGUGCUUGAGAGGGUGGUGGAAUUCCUGGUGUAGAGGUGAAAUUCGUAGAUAUCAGGAGGAACACCGGAGGCGAAGGCGGCCACCUGGCGAGACACUGACGCUGAGGCGCGAAAGCAUGGGUAGCAAACAGG
rnacentral:rRNA from 1 species